CAUUUUCAUUUCCAGCUAGAGGAGUGUUCGAACUGCCUGACUCGUUAUUUCAAGAAGAGGUCUUCGUAGAGCAUUGCGAUGGAUCCCAGAUGUCUGCUGGUUGCAUUAUUGACUUUCGGCAUUAUGACGUAUGGUACUUUGCUCGC